CNCAUGCGGUUUAAGCGGAAACGACACUAACAACCUCCUGUCGGUNUGCGUUGAAUGGGCGUCGAGCGGCGGACGGGUGAGUAAUGCCUAGGAAAUUGCCUUGAUGUGGGGGAUAACCAUUGGAAACGAUGGCUAAUACCGCAUAAUGCCUACGGGCCAAAGAGGGGGAUCUUCGGACCUCUCGCGUCAAGAUAUGCCUAGGUGGGAUUAGCUAGUUGGUGAGGUAAUGGCUCACCAAGGCGACGAUCCCUAGCUGGUCUGAGAGGAUGAUCAGCCACACUGGAACUGAGACACGGUCCAGACUCCUACGGGAGGCAGCAGUGGGGAAUAUUGCACAAUGGGCGAAAGCCUGAUGCAGCCAUGCCGCGUGUAUGAAGAAGGCCUUCGGGUUGUAAAGUACUUUCAGUUGUGAGGACAGGGUGUGUCAGUUAAUAGCUGCGCAUCUUGACGUUAGCAACAGAAGAAGCACCGGUAACUCCGUGCCAGCAGCCGCGGUAUACGGAGCGGUGCGAGCGUUAAUCGGAAUUACUGGGCGUAAAGCGCAUGCAGGUGGUUUCAUUACGGUCAGAUGUGAAAAGCCCCGGGGCUCAACCUCGGAACUGCAUUUUGAAACUGGUGAACUAGAGUUGCUGUAAGACGGGGGUAGAAAUUCUCNAGGUGUNCGCGGNGACACAUUGCGUGCGAGAUCUGGACAGGANAUACA
rnacentral:rRNA from 1 species